AUGUCUAUGUAUGAGGGUGUUUUGCAUGCAUAUAUGUGUACUGUGUUUGUCUGGUAUCUGAGGAGGUGGAUAGCAUGGGAACCUCUAGAACUAGAGUUACAGAUGUCUGUGACCCAUCCACCAUGUGGGUGCUGGGAAUUGAACCUAGGGCCUCUGGAAGAACAGCCAGUGCUCUUAACUGAUGAGACAUCUCUCUAGCCUUGAGAUUUUUACAUAGAAUGUAUUCUGUAUAGUUGUGUCUUAAGACUUAAGGGAACUUUCAAGGUCUAUUUUAAUAAUUUUAUAACCUGGUCUUCACAAAACACAGUUUAUAAUAGCUUAUAAGACAGUGUUAGGACAACUGACUACCAGUUGAAAAUGAGGCAAAUGAGCUAGAGAGUGAUAACAGACCUAGAUCUCUAGAUCUGCAGUUCUUUGGGACUGCAUUUCCUUGUUGUAAGACCUCCCUCCACCCCCCACCCCCACCCGCAGCCUUCAAGUAGCUGAUUUUCUGUUAUCUCAAACAGCUGGUAAAAAAUGUAUUUAAAAAAUAAUGGAGGGCUGGUGAAGAUGACUCGUUGGUAAAUGUUUGCUAUAGAAAUUCGAUGAUAAUUCCCAGAACCCAUGCAAAAAGUUUAAUGUAGUGGCCUGCGUUUGUAAUCCCAGCUAUUGAAAGAUGGGAGAUAGAGACAGGAGAAUUAAUCCAGUUAUCUUGGAGGAGUAGUAGGCAUUAUGGCAGAAAUGAGAGAAGCUGCCUCAAAAACAAAUUGGAAAAAUAGAGGAAAUGAAGUUAAAACAAAGCAAUAUGGGAGUUCAUGGUUUACAUAGUGGGAAAACGGUGGUUCAUGCUUUUUGUUAUACUUUUUAGCAAUCAUAAUUGUUGCUCAUAUGUUUCUUUGAAGUAUAUUUGCAUUUAUCAGUUUUGCAAGUUGAUUUAGGUGAAUUUGAUCAUGGCAUGGCAUUAGGAUUCUUCAGUAGCUGCCAGUAGCCACUGGAAACCAGUUUAAAGAUACUCCCUCACAGUCAUGUUGUUAUUUGAGGUAAAUUUCUUAAAUUUUGCAAACCAUACUGUUUAAGUAACCUGGUCUAUGAACCUAACACAGUUCUGGUCUGUUCUUCAUGUUUAUUCUUCUGGAUUUAAAAUAGUGUUUGUUUUUUUCCCUAGGCACAGUGCCUCAAGGGGAUACCAUAGGAACAUUCUGAUGAUAGGAUUCAAUUUACCCUUAGUGUAGCUAUAAAAUAAUGAGAGUUAUUCUCCAAAACCAAGUUCUUGUUUAAGAAUCCAGGCUUACGAUUUGACUCUUAAGGACUCAGUGAAUUUUUUAAUCCUUACAUGCAUUUGUGUUAAGCAUUAGUUGAUCAAUGAAAAUAUCACACACACUUCUCGGUUUUUAAAAGAUAGCUACUCGAGCUUGUGGUGCAAACUUUUAAUCCUAGCACCAUGCAGCAGGGCUACAUAGUGAGAUCCCGUCUCAAAAUAAAGUCCAGAGGUAAGACCAUUUUAGUUAACAGGUCAUUCUUUUUACUAACAAACCCAUUUUACUGCCCCCCCCCCACCUUUGUGUGUGUGUGUGUCUCCAUAUCUCAAUCUCAGCCCUUCUGUUUCUUUUUUAAGGCUAUUUGUUUGUGUUUAUUUAGUUUUUGAGACAGGUGUGUGUGUGUGUGUGUGUGUGUAUGUGUGUGUGUGUGUGUGUGUUUGUAGCUAUAGCUAUGGCUGUCUUCGAACUCACUCUGUAGACCAGGUUGGCCUCAAACUCAGAAAUUUGCCUGCUUCUGUCUCUUGGGUGCUGAGAUUAGAGGCAUGUGUGACCACUGCCCAGCUUGUUUUUAUUAUCUAUAAUUAUGUGUACAUAUUGUAGAAAUUUUAAAUCCCAAUCCAGAGUUUCUACCCACCUUUGAUCAUUCAGUUCUUGGAUAAAAGACACACUCAACCUUUACAUUUGUAAUAAGCCUUGAUCAGCUUUAAGAGCUGGGGAGAUAGCCGGGUGUGGUGGCGCACGCCUUUAGUCCCAGAACUCAGGAGGCAGAGGCAGGUGGAUUUCUGAGUUCGAGGCCAGCCUGGUCCACAGAGUGAGUUCCAGGACAGCCAGGGCUACACAGAGAAACCCUGUCAAGAACUGGGGAGAUAUCUGUCCUCUAUGCUAUUAAUUCUGUUUCCCAGCCAAUAGUCCCAUUAUAUAAUUUGACAUGUUUUGUCUGGGUUGUGCUUAACUCCAACUAGCCAACUAACAUGGCCAUUAUUUCAUGAUUCGUUUAACCUGUGGCAGCUUCUCCUUCAUUCACUUCCUUCUCUCCCUUUCUCGAUGUUCUCCUCUGUCCUCCAGCCCAGGAACCCUGACCCCUGCCUAUGUCUGUGGGUGUGGGCAUCUUUAUUUACCAAUCAGAAAUAACUUGGGGUCAAGGACACAUAGCAUCAAUUGACUCUACUUUAGGACUCUGUGUUCUUUGGGGCGACCGGGUCUUGAGGAACCAGUAUUAUUAGCAUUAGAAUACAAGCAACAUCAAGCCAACCCACUGCAUAUACAGGUCUGUGUGUAGGGAUGUGUAUGUGAAUGGAGUUGCUUCUCAGAGGCUGAACUUCUAGGGUCCCUCUGGAUCUGUGAUUGUAGGUGGUUGUGAGUCACCUGACCCCUCUAAAAGGAUCAGUGUUGUGGGGUUCUCAUUGUAUGUUUCUAAAAGUGUUGGCUCUUGAUGUGUGAUGUGAAUAGCAGGCAUGUUAGUGGCAACUUUGAACUUGCUACUGAGACAGACACUGGCCACUUUAUCCAGUGCUUUUCUGAAAUCUGUAACCUUUGUUCAGGGAAGAAGAGAACAGGUGCCUGGGACAAGUCCUGAGAAAAUAGCUAGAAAGGUGUCAGGACAAAGGACAGAGAAAAGACUUGUAAAUGGAAGUUUUAAAAAAUGUUCCUUUUGAGGGAGAUAGGCACUAGGACAAUUUUAUUAGAGUUUGAAAGACAAACCCAAGAUCUGGCAAACUAAAUCUUAGUAGCUUCUUAGUGAAGGACAAUGGAGGAGAGAAGGAAGAAGGCCAUGCUAUAUAUAAGCUGUUCACAUAGGAGGUUAGUUUACAUGGCUGUGGUGGGAGGUGGGGCGUGGGAGCUU
rnacentral:lncRNA from 1 species